rnacentral:rRNA from 1 species
GCUCUACCUGUCUCUUACAAAUAAUCAGUGAAAUUGAUCUUCCCGUGCAAAAGCGGGGAUAACACUAUAAGACGAGAAGACCCUGUGGAACUUCAAAUAUAAAAUCAACUAUCACCAACACCCACCCACGGGCCUUAUACCAAACAGCACCUGAUUUUUAUUUUCGGUUGGGGCGACCUCGGAACAAAACAAAACCUCCGAAAAAUAAAAAACCCUUUAAACCUAGAACAACAGUUCAAAGUGCUUCCGGCAAAACGAUCCAAUACACUUGAUCAACGAACCAAGCUACCCCAGGGAUAACAGCGCAAUCCCAUCCUAGAGUCCCUAUCGACGAUGGGGUUUACGACCUCGAUGUUGGAUCAGGACAUCCUAAUGGUGUAGCCGCUAUUAAGGGUUCGUUUGUUCAACGAUUA